rnacentral:rRNA from 1 species
CAAGUCACGGGGGCUCGCAAGGGCAACCGGCGAACGGGUGCGUAACACGUGAGGGACCUGCCUGGAAACGGGGGAUAGCCGGCCCAACGGCCGGGUAAUACCGCAUACGCUCUUUGGACGGCAUCGUCUGGAGAGGAAACCUCCGGGGUUUUCAGAGGGCCUCGCGGCCUAUCAGCUAGUUGGCGGGGUAAUGGCCCACCAAGGCGACGACGGGUAGCUGGUCUGAGAGGAUGGCCAGCCACAUUGGGACUGAGAGACGGCCCAGACUCCUGCGGGAGGCAGCAGUGGGGAAUCUUGCGCAAUGGCCGAAAGGCUGACGCAGCGACGCCGCGUGUGGGAGGAAGCUCUUCGGGGUGUAAACCACUGUUGCCCGGGACGAAUGACGAGUUUGGACUCGUUUGACGGUACCGGGUGAGGAAGCACCGGCUAACUCUGUGCCAGCAGCCGCGGUAAUACAGAGGGUGCGAGCGUUGUCCGGAAUCACUGGGCGUAAAGGGCGCGUAGGCGGCUUGGUAAGGUUGCGGUGAAAGCCCGGGGCUCAACCCCGGGUCGGCCGUGGCAACUGCUGAGCUGGAGCACUGUAGAGGCAGGUAGAAUUCCGGGUGUAGCGGUGGAAUGCGUAGAGAUCCG